CCAAGUUCCCUACGAUGAUUCCAUCUUGCACAUCUCGAAUAUGUACGGACGACAUUCCUUGAAUGAAACCAAGAGUUUCAUCUUCCCGUCCGGCGAUGGCUGUGUUUGUUAAGAAGAUCCAUAGUUAAAAGAGAAGAGAGAAUGAGAGAGAGA